GACAGAGGGUGCAAACGUUGUUCGGAUUUACUGGGCGUAAAGCGCGUGUAGGCGGCUUGGCAAGUCGGAUGUGAAAGCCCACGGCUCAACCGUGGAAGCGCAUCCGAAACUGCUUCGCUCGAGUCUCGGAGAGGAAGGUGGAAUGCUUGGUGUAGAGGUGAAAUUCGUAGAUAUCAAGCAGAACACCUGCGGCGAAGGCGGCCUUCUGGACGAUGACUGACGCUGAGACGCGAAAGCGUGAGGAGCAAACAGG
rnacentral:rRNA from 1 species